UGGAGGUGAUUUUUGUUGUUGUUAUUGUUGUGGCUGGCGGCGAGAAGGCUCUCAUUUACGCUAGGUAUCUCAUAGACAGAAUGAGCCUGGUUUUUACGCCAAGCUGAUGUUUUCAGUAGCAGUCCGCUGCGGAGAAAAUUCAAGCAGUCUUUAAUAGGGGCCUGAAGUUUUCGCUGCUUCUUACCGGAUCGACAGUGGGAAAGAAGGGUGGCAGCGUGCAGUACCUUGUGAAAUGGAGAGACUUUAUCCUUUACGAACUUGGGAGUAUGAAGAAGAUAUCAGUGACGAUCUAUCAGGUAUGUGCUGCCGUAGCUCAGAGAAAUCUUUGGCCAGGGUAGCCAAGAUGGCAUCACCCACAUCCUCCUCUCCUUCAGGUUCACUUGUAGGUUUGGCAUUCAUGCUUGACAUCUCCUUCAGUACUGUGUAGGUCUUCUCCAAUUUGUUUUUGUCUGCCCAUACCAUUUGCACUGCUCAGUGAUGUCGGCGACAGUCGCCUCCAGCUCACCAUUUUCCAUUUUUUCUUUACUUUUUGGCUACGCUGUGCGUCCUUGAGGUAGCAUUUGAGGCUGACCAGUUCUUCUUCUACCUUUGUUUUGCAGACAUUCUUGUCUAGUGUUCAGUGAUCGAACCCAGUCAAUGUUGAAGCACCCUUGUUAUUUCUUUCCGUUUCUUUUUAUUUGUGUACGCCGCUGCCUGCAACCGUGCAUUUUAAUAGGUUUGCGAGAAUCUCUUUUUACCUGCAGCAACCAGAGUUUGAAAGUACCGACACAAACUGGAAGCAUGCCCAGUUUUCAGACAACUAGCUGCUUCAAAAAUUCUUAUGUCAGAUGAGUGACUGGUUGCGCAGCCGACAUUAUGGUGACAUAAUGUGUCCUUGUAGUUCUGUUUAUUAUUACUUGUAUAUUUCACUGUUCGCGUCAAACUCGGCUAAAGGCCGAGUUUUCCGCAUCCGUAGGAACGCCACCACCCUUCAAGGAUCGUGUGUUUAUUAUAACAGUGUAUUUUGUUAUUUGUUUUGACCAUCAGUCCUUGGCUGAUGCUGGUCAUACCUUCAACAUGUUGACGCGUUUUUCAAGGCAUUCAAUAUACGUAGGCCGCAAGAUUCUAUCUUUUCAUAACGAAUACCGAUGGCUAGUGCUUCCCCACUAGCUGCGCAAGUGUCACAUCUGGCUGCGGCCAACUACCCUUUAA